rnacentral:misc_RNA from 1 species
AUUAUCUCCUACGCAAUAUGAAAUCUGUAACAGGAUUUUUACUUUUCUUAAGCGUUGCUACACCCUCCGCUGGUCAGUCCUGUCCCGGGGGGUGGUACCACUUCGGUACCUCCUGUUAUGCAUUCAUUGAUGCGGAACCUUUAGAGUGGACGGAAGCCAUGUUUUAUUGUAGUACUCUUCAUGCAAAGUUGGUUGAAAUAGAAACUGUCGCUGAAAAUGCUUUCCUGAAGAGUCAUUUGACUUCUAGUCACACCAAUGAUACUUAUUGGAUGGGUUUGACAGACGCUUUAGUGGAGUGAAAGUUUGUUUGGCAGACGACACAAGAUGACGUCGUGUUUGUGGAUUGGGCUCCGCGCGAACCAAACGAUAUGGCUCACAAGGAGGACUGCGCGACUCUCGAAUUUGGCUACCAGUAUAGGUGGAAUGAUGCGUCAUGCUCCAACAAAUAUGAUUUUAUAUGCGAACGAGAAAUUGAAGGAAAUCCGAAUGUCAUUGGAUAAUUACCUACCUACCAGAAGAACUGUAGCUCAACAAUUCCAUUGACAUUUCCGAAAUAAAAAAAAAUAUAUUUAAAAGUC